rnacentral:rRNA from 1 species
UACAGAGGUCUCAAGCGUUGUUCGGAUUCAUUGGGCGUAAAGGGUGCGUAGGUGGCGCGCUAAGUCGGGUGUGAAAUCUCGGAGCUUAACUCCGAAAUUGCAUUCGAUACUGGCGUGCUUGAGGACUGGAGAGGAGACUGGAAUUCAUGGUGUAGCAGUGAAAUGCGUAGAGAUCAUGAGGAAGACCAGUGGCGAAGGCGGGUCUCUGGGCAACAACUGACGCUGAGGAGCGAAAGCGUGGGGAGCGAACAGG